rnacentral:lncRNA from 1 species
AGUUGGGCUAUAACUUGGUGAAGUUGGACUAUAACCAGGAGAAGUGGGGCUAUAGGCUGGUGAAGUGGGGCUGUACGAUGGAGAAGUAGGGCUGUAUGACGGUGAGGUAGGGCUGUACGAAGGUGAUGUUGGGCUGUAGGAAGGAGAGGUUGGGCUGUACGAUGGUGAGGUGGGGCUGUAUGCAGGUGAGGUGGGGCUAUAUGCAGGUGAGGUGGGGCUAUAUGCCGGUGAGGUGGGGCUAUAGCUUGGUGAAGUUGGACUGUAACUGGGAGAAGUGGGGCUGUAACUUGGAGAGGUCGGGCUGUAGCUUGGGGAUGUUGGGCUGUAACUUGGGGAGGUUGGGCUAUAGCUUGGUGAAGUAGGUGAGUACGAUGGACUGGUAGGAGAAUAGGCAGGACUGGUUGGACUAUAACCAGGAGAACUUGGACUAUAAGUUGGUGAG